UAGUACGGCGAGUGAAGCGGCAAAAGCUCAAAUUUGAAAUCUGGUACCUUCGGUGCCCGAGUUGUAAUUUGGAGAGGGCAACUUUGGGGCCGUUCCUUGUCUAUGUUCCUUGGAACAGGACGUCAUAGAGGGUGAGAAUCCCGUGUGGCGAGGAGUGCGGUUCUUUGUAAAGUGCCUUCGAAGAGUCGAGUUGUUUGGGAAUGCAGCUCUAAGUGGGUGGUAAAUUCCAUCUAAAGCUAAAUAUUGGCGAGAGACCGAUAGCGAACAAGUACAGUGAUGGAAAGAUGAAAAGAACUUUGAAAAGAGAGUGAAAAAGUACGUGAAAUUGUUGAAAGGGAAGGGCAUUUGAUCAGACAUGGUGUUUUGUGCCCUCUGCUCCUUGUGGGUAGGGGAAUCUCGCAUUUCACUGGGCCAGCAUCAGUUUUGGUGGCAGGAUAAAUCCAUAGGAAUGUAGCUUGCCUCGGUAAGUAUUAUAGCCUGUGGGAAUACUGCCAGCUGGGACUGAGGACUGCGACGUAAGUCAAGGAUGCUGGCAUAAUGGUUAUAUGCCGCCCGUCUUG
rnacentral:rRNA from 1 species